rnacentral:rRNA from 1 species
GACGAACGCUGGCGGCGUGCCUAAUACAUGCAAGUAGAACGCUGAAGAGAGGAGCUUGCUCUUCUUGGAUGAGUUGCGAACGGGUGAGUAACGCGUAGGUAACCUGCCUUGUAGCGGGGGAUAACUAUUGGAAACGAUAGCUAAUACCGCAUAACAAUGGAUGACCCAUGUCAUUUAUUUGAAAGGGGCAAAUGCUCCACUACAAGAUGGACCUGCGUUGUAUUAGCUAGUAGGUGAGGUAACGGCUCACCUAGGCGACGAUACAUAGCCGACCUGAGAGGGUGAUCGGCCACACUGGGACUGAGACACGGCCCCGACUCCUACGGGAGGCAGCAGUAGGGAAUCUUCGGCAAUGGGGGCAACCCUGACCGAGCAACGCCGCGUGAGUGAAGAAGGGUUUCGGAUCGUAAAGCUCUGUUGUAAGUCAAGAACGAGUGUGAGAGUGGAAAGUUCACACUGUGACGGUAGCUUACCAGAAAGGGACGGCUAACUACGUG